UACGUAGGGUGCAAGCGUUUGUCCGGAAUUAUUGGGCGUAAAGAGCUCGUAGGCGGUCUGUCGCGUCUGCUGUGAAAACUCGGGGCUUAACCCCGGGCCUGCAGUGGGUACGGGCAGACUAGAGUGCGGUAGGGGUGACUGGAAUUCCUGGUGUAGCGGUGGAAUGCGCAGAUAUCAGGAGGAACACCGAUGGCGAAGGCAGGUCACUGGGCCGCAACUGACGCUGAGGAGCGAAAGCAUGGGGAGCGAACAGG
rnacentral:rRNA from 1 species